rnacentral:lncRNA from 1 species
AGCCUUACACAUUCGCUUGAAUUUUUCUUUAAGCUCCGCCUUGUGCUCACUGUUUGUGAUGCGAAAAUAAUAGUCAGGAUACGUGCUUUGAUCAACACAGUUUGGAGGGGUUGAUGUUCCUAUGGCCAUGAUGGUGGCAGGGCCCUCCGCCCGUUGCGACUUCCGAAUUUCAUCAACGGUCACCAUAUUUUCUUUUUGGUGGCGGCGAAAACCAAGAAAUCAAAUCGAAGGGGUUGAGAGCUGAUCACCGUAACAGUGCCCUGGGUGGUGUAGAUGUGGCAGUGGACUAGCUGCUGGGAGAGUUAGAGAGGGAUGAGUGGGAAAUUCGGAGAGAAUGUGGUCUGUAUAUAUAGCAUAAAAGAGUGAGAGGUUAGCUGAGAUCAAAAUAAGAAGAAGAGGGGUUAGCUGAGAUGUUCACGUGCUGCAUAAAUGCCCUUCUAACCAGUCUACCGAGUAUUUGGUUGGUUUAUAUAUAUAUGCGAUUGUAAUGGAUUUAUAUCACAAAAUAAUUAAAAAUAUGGGCUUUAGUUUAUUACUAAUUUACAUGCUAGCACAUGCUAGCAGUAUACUGCAUGUCAUAUUUUUUUUUAAUAUAAUAAAAAAAAAUUAAGACAUGGAGAAUUAUUUGGUAUUAUUAAAAAUCUUAAAACUUCUCAAUUUGAUUCAUUGUCUAACGUGAGUUUAUAAUUAAAAUCAAGUGAAAUUUUGUUUCGUAUGACUCAUUUAACUUGGUGGAUCUAAAAUUAAUGCAAUUGAUCAAUAAAAAAAUCUAAAAAAAGAUUGAGAUAAAAAUGAUGAACUUUAAUGAAAAAGCCCAUCUCAACUCAAUUUCUUUCCUAGCACAAUUUAAACUUAAGUUUUUUAAAAGUUUACCUAAUAUAACCCUCUUGUUUUGGCUGAUCUAAAGACAACUUGUUCAAUCAAUAAAAUAAAUGAGAAUGAAAUUGAUGGAAAACAAUCGUUUAACUUGGCUCUUUAACUAGCUCGAGUUUAAUAUUAAACUACAUAGGAGUUUCUCCAAUAUAAUUUAAUUGACUUGACAUGUUUAUAAACAAUUCAAUUAACUACUAAAAAAGUAUAAGGAUUUAAUUGAAAAAAAAACAGAUGAAACUAAAAAAAAUGAAAAAACAAGGAUAAAUUGAAUGAAAAAAAAAACACUUCAUGUGGACUUUAAAUACUAAAAAAUAUUACAUUAAUGUCUAACUCAAUAAAAAUAAUAGUUUUGAAACUUCAUCAGGAGUCGAUCCAUGACAAUGCUUAGGUCACAUGUCACUAGUUAAGAGGGUAGACUCAGGUCGACACUAAUCUUUUUUUUUUUUUUUAAAUCAAAACAACAUUAUUAUUAUUUUUAAAAAAAGAAUCAACAAAUUAAUGGUCAUGUUUUGAUCAGUUCAAGUCAUGAUCGACCAAGGCAUCAAGUCAGAACUAAGUUAACUAGGUCAAAUCAAGCUUUUAACUGGAUCAAUUAAUUUUUUUUAUUUUUAUUCAUUUUGGAUAGGUCAAGACUCUAAAUUAACUAGGUGUUGGAUCGAUCUAACAAACCGAUUUAAAUUUUAAAAUAUUUAUAAAGAUAAGAGAUCCAAGAAGAGAAAAAGUCCUUUUAUUUACAUUUAAACCUUUUAUCUUAAGUUCUUAUUGCACUGAUUAAUAAAGAUUUGUUUUUUGAUUCAUACUAGUAAUUAUCUAUAUUUGAUUCUUCAAUCAAUGAGAGACAUGGCGCCUCAUGGAGGUUUUUUUUUUUUUGGGCAUUUAGCUAUUAAAAAUGGGAAAAAAUCUAAAAAUUGUCAAUUUGUUCGCAUCGAUUUUAGUAAGCGAGCUCCCAUUGAAAAGGAUGGGGAAAUAAUUAAUAAUGCAUGUAUAAGUUUUUUAAUCCAGCCCAAUUAGAAUCAAAUUGCAUUAUAUUGUGAGAUAAAUAAUUAAAAUUUUAUAAUCAUAAUUUUUUUUAAAAAAUAAAGAGCUAAAAUAAUCAAUAUUUUUCAGAAAAACAUAAAAUCUCAAGCGACUAGAAAAAAAAUUAAGAACUAAAAUAAGUAAUAAUUCUUAGAAAAAAUAAAACUCCAAGCGACUCAUAAUUUUAUUAAAUAUUAGGAAAUAAUUAAUAAUAAUUUAUUUGAAAACUUUAAAGUGUUUUAAGAAGAAAAUUGAAAAAUUCUCAACCAAUGUUUUGAAAUUGCAUUAAAAUACUAAUAUUUAAUUUUAUAUAAAAAGUUACAAUUUUUUAACAUGUUUGAGAAACUAAAGAUUUUCAAAAUUUCUCAACAGUUAAAAAUUUCAAAGAAAGGACAUUUUAAAAUUUUUAAGAAAUAUAAAAUUAAUUUCAAAAAAGCACAGCCCUUGAUAUUUUUAUUUCUUAGAUAUUUACAAGUUGCAGUCAACUUAAAAUAUAGUACAAUUUAAUCCAAUCUGAUGAAAUCAAUAAAAGUUUAUGAUUACAUCAUAAAAUUUGAUCAAAUGUUUUUCAUGAGGGCUCACUUGUGUUGCCCUAUGUUAUGAGAGAGAGUCAGGGAGUCAAAGGGCAAAGGGCAGCAUGCACGUGAACCAGGAACUAUGGAACGCUAGCUUCCUGUUAGGCAGGUAUUAGGUAAAGAAUGUAAGAUUCAAUUUUGUCAUGCAAAGAGAAUGCCAAAUAAUUUGUGUGAGCUUAUACUUGUCUCUCUCUCUCUCACACACACAAACACGUGCAAGCACGCGCAUAUAUAUAUAUAUAUAUAUAUGAUGAUGAACAGAUUUCUAAACAUUAUUAACAGAUGAAUAAUUCCUUUCGAGUGUCAAAUCACGAGGAAGAACUCAUCAACUUAAAGUCUCCAACCAAUCGUAUAUUUACAUGAUAGUUAGGAAAUGUAAAUUAUAGGAUUCAAACAAAUAAUAUCUUCUUUCUAAUUAACUCCUUGAUUAUUAUUAGCUGAGCUACUAGCUCAUUUGCGUAUUAGUAUAGAGUGAACUUAUAUAUAAUGAGUGUAUAAAAGCGUGGUAAUGAUUGUUUUUUAAAAUAUUUUUUCUUGGAAAUAUAUUAAAAUAAUAUUUUUAUUAUUUUUAAAAAAUUAUUUUUAACAUCAAUAUAUUAAAACGAUGUGAAAAUACUAAAAAAAAAAAACUAAUUUGAUACAAAAAAAUCUAAAAAAAAUAAAAAAAUAUUUUUAAAAUAAAAAAACAAACAAGAUUGUACUAUAUCAGAUACAAAAUUACACGAUUUUUUUUUGUUAGUGCAUGCAAUCAAUUAAAAGAAAAGUUGGUAAGCACGCACCUGAAAACAUCCGAGGGCGGCUUAGAUUUGUAGACUGAAAACCUUAGAACAUAUGUAGUCUCCUGCUUUGCAUGUGUAUUUGAUAGGUUAUUCAUGUAAUUAAAUAAAUUUGAGCUCUAGUAAUUUAAUUUAGUUUUUUUGGUUGCUAUGCAAGAGCUGGGAGAGUUUUCCAAGUGUGUACGUAAUUCAGAGUUCUAGAUCCUAGGAUAUACAAAUAUCAUGAUAUUUUUCAUAAUUAUGAUCCGGAGAUUAAUCCGGAAAAAACAUAUAAGUUAUUGAAUCAUCCACGAAUCAUCAAGUUGGUCCGUAAAUGAAACGACAUCUCAUUUCUGAAACAUCCAAAAAGACGUCGUUUCUAAUGCAAUCUUCUGAGCCAAUUAUAGUUGCCACUUGGCAAAACUUCUCAUCUCCCACCAACCAUUCAUUGUUUUCUUCUCCUUUUCAACUCCCUCUCUCCCAUCAUUUUCUCCAUUUGCAGCGUAUCUACUAAAAUAAUUAGGGUUUUUUAAGCACUGUUUAUAUGAAGAAUUCGUGUCAUAGCUCAGUUAGUUAGCUGUCUAUCUAAGCCUGGAAGUCAUGGGUUUCAGAGCUAGGGAAUCUGAUUUUUUCUUUAAAUAAACGUAAGACAUGUGCUAUCUGUAUUGUUUUUUUUUUUUUUUUUUUUAAUUAUUAAAAAAAAAAAAAAAACAAGCUCAGAUGUACAGCAUGACCUACUACCAGCGGUCAUGUGCUAUGCCUAAUUUUUUUUUUGUUUAUUUUUUUGGUAUUCUAAAUUUGAUUCAAAUUGAUUUUUUUAUUAUUAAAAUUUCUAAAUAAUUUUAUCAUGAUUUCUUUAACUUUCAAUCAUAUAUAAAAUAUCAACAUACUACUUUAAUAUUUUUUUAAAAAAUAAAAAUUAUAUUUUUUUAAUAGAAACAAUAAUUUUAGUUAAAGACUGAUAAUAUUUUCAAGUAAAUAUAUUUUUAAAAUUGAUAAUAAUAAUAUAAAAAAUAUAUACAAGACCCGUACAUUUAAAAAAAAAAAUGGUUUCCCCGUUAGCAGACGAAAUAGUAUAAUCUAUAGCUUUUUAUUUGUCUUUUGUUUUAUAUUUGUACUUCCUUCGUCGUCUUGCUUUGUUCAACGGGAACAGAGAAGGGGAUUCUGGCUGUUUUUUUUUCAACAUUUUUUUCGUUUUUUUUUUGUUAUAUUUAUAAGAUCCUAGAGUCAAUAAUUUUUCAGCAAGUAAUUCUGAUUUUAAUAAUGAAUAUUAUCUUGGAAGAGCAAAUGACCAAAUGUAAAUGAUAGAGUCGAUCAUUAUUUUAGCUUACCUGGUGCAUUAUCUUGCUUAGAAAACUACCGUUUUUUGCUUAGCAGAGGAUUCUGAUGUUUUAUUAUUUUUAAAAUUUUUCUUGAUGAUCUUGCUCUUCAUUGAUAUAUAUAUAUAUAUAUAUAUAUAUAUAUUUUUUUUUUUUUUCCUUUUAACUAAAAUAUGUUAAAGCCUUAAUUCAGUUACUUUUUGUUGGAACUAUUCAGUCUGAAUGAUGGAAAUAGAGGUUUUACGGUGAUUCCAUGGUGAGAGAUUGAAACUAAGCUGGUUGGGAAGGCGGUAUAAACCAUGUUUUUAAAAAAUUUAAUUAUUUUUUUGUUAAAGUAAUUUUUUUUAUAUUUUGAAUCGUUUUGAUGUUCUAAUUUUAAAAAUAAUUUUUUAAAAAAUAAAAAAACAUCAUUUUAAUAUAUUUCAACAUAAAAAACACUUUAAAAAACAUCAAAUUAAAACUCCUUGGUUUAGGAAAAUGAAAAUAAAGUUUGACUGAUUUUUUUUUAAUAUUAAUAUAUAAAAAAUAUUAAAAAAUAUCAAUUUAAUAUUUUUUUCAAACUAAAUAUAUUUUAAAAUACAUCCAAUCACAAUGUUACACGAAUGAAUAACCAAUGCACAUGUGUAGUGUACAUGUUUGUAAAAACACGCAACACCUUUUGAUUUUACAUAUGAUAUUAUGUAGAAUUUUCUACAAAAGAGAUUAUUAGGUGUACAUUGAGUUCCACUCCUCUUUCAUACAAAAACGAGACAGGUUAUAUAAAGAUUGUUUAUCCAUCCUAUUUGAAAUAAGAGAAUGUAUGUAAUUUUAAAGGUGUAAUUUAAUUAGUUAUAUUUUGAAUUUAUUUAUUAAAAAUCAUUAAUUCAAGUUUUAUAAAUCUUGAAAUCAUUAAAGACUUAUAUAGUCGUUAAUUUUAAAGUUCGUUGAAUUAAUCAAGAUAUAUACAAACGGGUCUGGACACUUAUAUUAAUAAUAUAUAUAUAAAAAAAAAUGCAUGUCCAGAAAAUAUUAAGUAAUUCCCCCUUCAAAUAUAAUACCACAAUCAUUAUGUUAUUUUAUGUUGUGACUUAGAUAUUUUUUAAAAUUAAUUUUUUAUAACAGAGUUUACUAUUACAGUUCAGCAAAUUACGUAAAUCCAAACACAACCACCUCGACUCUCUCCCACACUCCUUAUUGGUGCUCUCAAAAGAGACACUCUGUAGAGGAAUGGGGCAUUAUUAAAAGAAGCGAGAGCAUUUUUUUUUACAAAAAAGAAGAAGCCAAUAGAAGUUAUAUUGCAGGCUGCCCAUGUAAAUCAACGGAAGCAGCUUCUAGAUUGUUGGAGCCACACUGUGGAGCACCACAGUCUCAACAGUAAGCCCAGGCCCAAACCCAAAAAGCACACCCCAUUCCAGCCCUUCUCCAGUAGAUUGAAGCCCAUCCUCAGCAGAUUUCUUUCUCAUCUCAUCCAGAAUAAACAACACACAUGCACUCGACAUGUUUCCAUACUCGCUCAGCACGUGUCUAGUGGCUCGCAGUUUCUCAGGUUUCAGCCCCAGCUUAGCCUCCACCUGGUCUAGAAUGGCUGGUCCACCAGGGUGCGCUAUCCAGAAAAGGGAGUUCCAGUCCGCGAUGCCCAGAGGCUUGAACGCCUCCGUUAGGCUCUUCUCAACAUUCUUUGAAAUAAGCCCGGGAACAUCCUUGAGGAGGUGAAAUGUAAGCCCGACUUCACGGAGAUGUCCAUCUAUAGCCCCAUCGCUGUCCGGUAGAAUAGUUUGGGCUGCAGAGACUAGCUCGAAUAAAGGCUUCUCGACUCCGACCACCGGGUCAGAGCCUAUUAUGAGAGCAGCAGCGCCGUCGCCGAACAAUGCUUGACCGACAAGGCUAUCAAGAUGGGUAUCGCUAGGGCCCCGAAAUGUCACGGCUGUUAUUUCAGAGCACACGACUAGCACACGAGCACCUUUGUUGUUCUCGGCGAGGUCCUUAGCGAGGCGGAGCACCGUGCCACCAGCGAAACAACCCUGUUGAUACAUCAUCAAACGCUUGACCGAUGCGCGGAGGCCUAAAAGCUUAGUGAGCUGAUAGUCAGCGCCGGGCAUGUCCACACCACUGGUUGUGCAAAACACUAGAUGGGUUAUUUUGGACUUGGGCUGACCCCAUUCCUUGAUGGCCUUGGUAGCUGCUUCUUUGCCCAACCUUGGCACCUCCACCACCACCAUGUCCUGUCUAGCAUCCAAUGAAGGUUCCAUGUAUGCACACACACUAGGAUUUUCUUUCAAGAUCUCCUCCGUCAAGUACAUGUACCGCUUCUUGAUCAUGGACUUCUCGCCUGAAAUGCAUGGCAUGACAGAAUUAAGUUUGAUAGAUAUCGACCAAGAUAAUAUAUGUGUAAUGGAAAUGCAAUUAAUAUACAUAUUCAACUUAAUUAUAAGCCUUACACAUUCGCUUGAAUUUUUCUUUAAGCUCCGCCUUGUGCUCACUGUUUGUGAUGCGAAAAUAAUAGUCAGGAUACGUGCUUUGAUCAACACAGUUUGGAGGGGUUGAUGUUCCUAUGGCCAUGAUGGUGGCAGGGCCCUCCGCCCGUUGCGACUUCCGAAUUUCAUCAACGGUCACCAUAUUUUCUUUUUGGUGGCGG